rnacentral:misc_RNA from 1 species
UUCUAAUGGUUCUAAUUGCAAAGCAAAUUCAAUCGUUCAUUUGAUCAAUCUUUAAUUGAAGGAUGAUUUCAUAUAGGGAGCUCAAAGCUCAAAUUGUACAAGCAACCGUUGUCACUAGUUGUCUUUUUCUCUUGCUUGGUCCUCUAUUCAGUUUCAGCUGAAGGAUUUGGCAACGUGAUGAGACCUCAAGGCAGAAAUUUUCUGUUCAGUCUUACUGCUUGAGACAAAGUUGAUGGCCCCAAAGUCCAAAGACAUGCUUUCAAGUCAGCUGAACAAUUUUUUGUCU